GCGCCACAAAACCUUUCAAUACCGUCAUUUUCGUCUACAAAACAAUUGAACUAUUCCUUUUUUUCUAAUUUUCUAGGGUAUUUUCCCCGAUUUCAAUGGAGAAGGAAUGCAGAUAUCCCCUUUGGUGUGAUUCAUGCGCUUCACACUGUAACGAGAAUAUUGAGGGAGGAAGAGAUUUUUUUUUAAUAAUUAAUUGCUAGUUGCUGUCUAUAUUAGCGUUUCAUAUUUAGCAUUGAGAGUGGAACUUACACUGCAAAGC
rnacentral:lncRNA from 1 species